rnacentral:tRNA from 1 species
AGCUAUUGAACUUGUGUAUAGUAUAUAUUUUGAAAAUAUAAUAAAGAAACAUAUAAUUUCUAUUAGCUU